UACGGAAGGGGCAAGCGUUGUUCGGAAUCAUUGGGCGUAAAGGGCGCGUAGGUGGUCUUGUGUGUCUACCGUGAAAGCACACGGCUCAACCGUGUAAAGUCGGUAGAAACUGCGAGACUUGAGGUUGGGAGGGGCUGGUGGAAUUCCCUGUGUAGCGGUGAAAUGCGUAGAGAUGGGGGAGAACACUUGUGGCGAAGGCGGCCAGCUGGACCAAAUCUGACACUGAGGCGCGACAGCGUGGGGAGCAAACAGG
rnacentral:rRNA from 1 species